CUGGAGGUAUCAGAAGUGCGAAUGCUGACAUAAGUAACGAUAAAGCGGGUGAAAAGCCCGCUCGCCGGAAGACCAAGGGUUCCUGUCCAACGUUAAUCGGGGCAGGGUGAGUCGACCCCUAAGGCGAGGCCGAAAGGCGUAGUCGAUGGGAAACAGGUUAAUAUUCCUGUACUUGGUGUUACUGCGAAGGGGGGACGGAGAAGGCUAUGUUGGCCGGGCGACGGUUGUCCCGGUUUAAGCGUGUAGGCUGGUUUUCCAGGCAAAUCCGGA
rnacentral:rRNA from 1 species